rnacentral:rRNA from 1 species
AUACGUAGGUGACAAGCGUUAUCCGGAUUUACUGGGCGUAAAGGGCGUGUAGGCGGUCUUGCAAGUCAGAAGUGAAAUUCCUGAGCUCAACUCGGGCGCUGCUUCUGAAACUGCAGGACUUGAGUGCUGGAGGGGAUAGCGGAAUUCCUAGUGGAGCGGUAAAAUGCGCAGAUAUUAGGAAGAACACCGGUGGCGAAGGCGGCUAUCUGGACAGUAACUGACGCUGAGGCGCGAAAGCGUGGGGAGCAAACAGGAUUAGAUGCCCUGGUAGUCCACGCCGUAAACGAUGAAUACUAGGUGUAGGGGGUAUCGACUCCCUCUGUGCCGCAGUUAACACAAUAAGUAUUCCGCCUGGGGAGUACGGCCGCAA